UAGUAGUAAAUUAAGAAUAGAGAGC
rnacentral:piRNA from 2 species